rnacentral:lncRNA from 1 species
UUCUCCUUCCUAGGGCCUUUGCAAGUUCUAGAGUUAUGGCCCCAUUAUUGAUAAUUCCUACGUCUUAAUGAUGUACCCCUCCUUUUGAUUUGAGUAGAAUCCUUUGGCUCAUCCUCUUCUCUUCUUCUUGCCUUUUUGGGUCUAUCUGGAGGAUCCUUUGAGGGAGGGGGGGAUACUUUAGAGUAGUUUGUCCUUGACCAAGAUUUCAUGCUUGAAAAUGACUCAAUAAGAUACUCGUAGAUAAUAAAAAAUAUUUGUUUACUGUACCAUGCACUGACAAAAUCUUCUGCCUCC